ACGGGAGGCAGCAGUGGGGAAUAUUGGGCAAUGGGGGGAACCCUGACCCAGCAACGCCGCGUGGAGGAAGAAGGUCUUCGGAUCGUAAACUCCUGUCCUAAGGGAAGAGUAGAAGACUGUACCUUAGGAGGAAGCCCCGGCUAACUACGUGCCAGCAGCCGCGGUAAUACGUAGGGGGCGAGCGUUGUCCGGAAUGAUUGGGCGUAAAGGGCGCGUAGGCGGCCCGGUAAGUCUGGAGUGAAAGUCCUGCCUUCAAGGUGGGAAUUGCUUUGGAUACUGUCGGGCUUGAGUGCAGGAGAGGUAAGUGGAAUUCCUAGUGUAGCGGUGAAAUGCGUAGAUAUUAGGAGGAACACCAGUGGCGAAGGCGGCUUACUGGACUGUAACUGACGUUGAGGCUCGAAAGCGUGGGGAGCAAACAGGAUUAGAUACCCUGGUA
rnacentral:rRNA from 1 species